AGUGAACGCUGGCGGCAGGCCUAAUACAUGCAAGUCGAACGGCAGCACAGCAGAGCUUGCUCUGUGGGUGGCGAGUGGCGGACGGGUGAGGAAUACAUGGGAAUCUGCCCAGUCGUGGGGGAUAACGUAUGGAAACGUACGCUAAUACCGCAUGCGCCCUUCGGGGGAAAGCCGGGGACCUUCGGGCCUGGCGCGAUUGGAUGAGCCCAUGUCGGAUUAGCUAGUUGGCGGGGUAAAGGCCCACCAAGGCGACGAUCCGUAGCUGGUCUGAGAGGAUGAUCAGCCACACUGGGACUGAGACACGGCCCAGACUCCUACGGGAGGCAGCAGUAGGGAAUAUUGGACAAUGGGCGCAAGCCUGAUCCAGCCAUGCCGCGUGAGUGAAGAAGGCCCUCGGGUUGUAAAGCUCUUUUGUCCGGAAAGAAAGCAUUCGGUUAAUACCGAGUGUCUGACGGUACCGGAAGAAUAAGCACCGGCUAACUUCGUGCC
rnacentral:rRNA from 1 species